GCCUCAACAAUCAGACUACUUGACUCAAGGUAUAAAGUUUAAAAAUUUGAUAGCUGUGGAUGAAGUGGAUAAAUAUAGAAAUAAAGCCUUAAAAGGUAAAGAUAUUGUGCGGGAGGAAAAUGCAAAACCUAAGGAUAAGAAAAAGGAUGGUACUAUCCAUUCAAAGUCGUAGAAUGAAUACCUUAUUUUCUUUUUCUGAUGAAGAUAAUUUGCUGGAAUGUUCGUGGACUUAAUAAGCCUGAAAAAUGUCAGGAGCUCAACAGAAUAAUCAAGUCUGCUGCAUGUGAUAUUG
rnacentral:lncRNA from 1 species